AGCGAAACGGGAAGAGCCCAAACCAACAAGCUUGCUUGUUGGGGUUGUAGGACACUCUAUACGGAGUUACAAAGGACGACAUUAGACGAAUCAUCUGGAAAGAUGAAUCAAAGAAGGUAAUAAUCCUGUAGUCGAAAAUGUUGUCUCUCUUGAGUGGAUCCUGAGUACGACGGAGCACGUGAAAUUCCGUCGGAAUCUGGGAGGACCAUCUCCUAAGGCUAAAUACUCUCUAGUGACCGAUAGUGAACCAGUACCGUGAGGGAAAGGUGAAAAGCACCCCGGAAGGGGAGUGAAAUAGAACCUGAAACCGUGUGCUUACAAGUAGUCAGAGCCCGUUAAUGGGUGAUGGCGUGCCUUUUGUAGAAUGAACCGGCGAGUUACGAUUUGAUGCAAGGUUAAGCAGUAAAUGUGGAGCCGUAGCGAAAGCGAGUCUGAAUAGGGCGUUUAGUAUUUGGUCGUAGACCCGAAACCAGGUGAUCUACCCUUGGUCAGGUUGAAGUUCAGGUAACACUGAAUGGAGGACCGAACCGACUUACGUUGAAAAGUGAGCGGAUGAACUGAGGGUAGCGGAGAAAUUCCAAUCGAACCUGGAGAUAGCUGGUUCUCUCCGAAAUAGCUUUAGGGCUAGCCUCAAGUGAUGAUUAUUGGAGGUAGAGCACUGUUUGGACGAGGGGCCCCUCUCGGGUUACCGAAUUCAGACAAACUCCGAAUGCCAAUUAAUUUAACUUGGGAGUCAGAACAUGGGUGAUAAGGUCCGUGUUCGAAAGGGAAACAGCCCAGACCACCAGCUAAGGUCCCAAAAUAUAUGUUAAGUGGAAAAGGAUGUGGCGUUGCCCAGACAACUAGGAUGUUGGCUUAGAAGCAGCCAUCAUUUAAAGAGUGCGUAAUAGCUCACUAGUCGAGUGACACUGCGCCGAAAAUGUACCGGGGCUAAACAUAUUACCGAAGCUGUGGAUUGUCCUUUGGACAAUGGUAGGAGAGCGUUCUAAGGGCGUUGAAGCAUGAUCGUAAGGACAUGUGGAGCGCUUAGAAGUGAGAAUGCCGGUGUGAGUAGCGAAAGACGGGUGAGAAUCCCGUCCACCGAUUGACU
rnacentral:rRNA from 1 species